GCUGGGAAUAUAACUCAGUUGGUAGAGGGCUUGCCUUGCAAUGCAAAAGGCCCUGGGUUCAAACCCCACCCAGCA
rnacentral:tRNA from 1 species